AGAGUUUGAUCAUGGCUCAGAUUGAACGCUGGCGGCAGGCCUAACACAUGCAAGUCGAGCGGUAGCACAGAGAGCUUGCUCUCGGGUGACGAGCGGCGGACGGGUGAGUAAUGUCUGGGAAACUGCCUGAUGGAGGGGGAUAACUACUGGAAACGGUAGCUAAUACCGCAUAAUGUCGCAAGACCAAAGUGGGGGACCUUCGGGCCUCAUGCCAUCAGAUGUGCCCAGAUGGGAUUAGCUAGUAGGUGGGGUAACGGCUCACCUAGGCGACGAUCCCUAGCUGGUCUGAGAGGAUGACCAGCCACACUGGAACUGAGACACGGUCCAGACUCCUACGGGAGGCAGCAGUGGGGAAUAUUGCACAAUGGGCGCAAGCCUGAUGCAGCCAUGCCGCGUGUGUGAAGAAGGCCUUCGGGUUGUAAAGCACUUUCAGCGGGGAGGAAGGCGAUAAGGUUAAUAACCUUGUCGAUUGACGUUACCCGCAGAAGAAGCACCGGCUAACUCCGUGCCAGCAGCCGCGGUAAUACGGAGGGUGCAAGCGUUAAUCGGAAUUACUGGGCGUAAAGCGCACGCAGGCGGUCUGUCAAGUCGGAUGUGAAAUCCCCGGGCUUAACCUGGGAACUGCAUUCGAAACUGGCAGGCUAGAGUCUUGUAGAGGGGGGUAGAAUUCCAGGUGUAGCGGUGAAAUGCGUAGAGAUCUGGAGGAAUACCGGUGGCGAAGGCGGCCCCCUGGACAAAGACUGACGCUCAGGUGCGAAAGCGUGGGGAGCAAACAGGAUUAGAUACCCUGGUAGUCCACGCCGUAAACGAUGUCGAUUUGGAGGUUGUGCCCUUGAGGCGUGGCUUCCGGAGCUAACGCGUUAAAUCGACCGCCUGGGGAGUACGGCCGCAAGGUUAAAACUCAAAUGAAUUGACGGGGGCCCGCACAAGCGGUGGAGCAUGUGGUUUAAUUCGAUGCAACGCGAAGAACCUUACCUGGUCUUGACAUCCACAGAACUUUCCAGAGAUGGAUUGGUGCCUUCGGGAACUGUGAGACAGGUGCUGCAUGGCUGUCGUCAGCUCGUGUUGUGAAAUGUUGGGUUAAGUCCCGCAACGAGCGCAACCCUUAUCCUUUGUUGCCAGCGGUUCGGCCGGGAACUCAAAGGAGACUGCCAGUGAUAAACUGGAGGAAGGUGGGGAUGACGUCAAGUCAUCAUGGCCCUUACGACCAGGGCUACACACGUGCUACAAUGGCAUAUACAAAGAGAAGCGACCUCGCGAGAGCAAGCGGACCUCAUAAAGUAUGUCGUAGUCCGGAUUGGAGUCUGCAACUCGACUCCAUGAAGUCGGAAUCGCUAGUAAUCGUAGAUCAGAAUGCUACGGUGAAUACGUUCCCGGGCCUUGUACACACCGCCCGUCACACCAUGGGAGUGGGUUGCAAAAGAAGUAGGUAGCUUAACCUUCGGGAGGGCGCUUACCACUUUGUGAUUCAUGACUGGGGUGAAGUCGUAACAAGGUAACCGUAGGGGAACCUGCGGUUGGAUCACCU
rnacentral:rRNA from 6 species